rnacentral:piRNA from 1 species
GAAAGGUCGUGAUCCACCAGCAGGAAGC